AGCGUAGACGGCAAGGCAAGUCUGAUGUGAAAACCCAGGGCUUAACCCUGGGACUGCAUUGGAAACUGUCUGGCUCGAGUGCCGGAGAGGUAAGCGGAAUUCCUAGUGUAGCGGUGAAAUGCGUAGAUAUUAGGAAGAACACCAGUGGCGAAGGCGACCACCUGGACUGAUACUGACACUGAGGUGCGAAAGCGUGGGGAGCAAACA
rnacentral:rRNA from 1 species